UCUCCUUCUUCACCUCCGUCAAGAACUUCCGCAACCCCAAGUGAGAUCGCUAAUAGUAUUUCUUCUCUGCACACCGAACUCUCUCCUGAACAUCUGUGAGCUGAAGAUGCGAAUUCUCUUUCUGUUGCCUCAGUUUCAGAAUUUCCACCUUCAAAAUGUUUUGGUCCUUCUUCAGUUUCUACAUUGAAAGCUCCUUCAUGCAUCUGUUCUACUUACUCCUCCUCCUUAUGUUCUUUAGCUAAUGCUUCUUCCCUCCUUCGAAUCCUUCAUUCGUAAACUCCCAACGCUCUCAAUCAACCUUCCUGAAGCCACCGGAAGAGUUUUACUUCAAAAGAGGUUUUUUUUCUGAAAUUUCUUAGUUUGUGGUUAUAAUUUGUUGAUACAUGCAUGUUUUAUAAUUAGUUUUAUUUCAAUCAAAAUUAUUCUUCUAUAUUUAAUAUAUUUGUUUUAAUAUACUGUAGAAAAAUAUAUUUGCUCCAAUAUGUGGAACUUAUGUAUAGUUUUUUUUUUAAAAUUGAAAAACUUACAUACUUUGUUUUUAACCAAUCAAACGUAUAAAAAUUCUCUACAGGCAGUUAGUUACAGACAUUAAAUGAUGAUUAAAAUUUCAAAAGUUACGUUUGCGUAGAAAUCUGGAAGCUGUAAAUAGUUGGAAAGUGAAAAUUACUUGCUUCUAUAUCACCUUUCACACACCGCAGGGGAUGAAGUUUUUACAUUAUCAUUCUUUUUUACAUCUAAAUUUACAAUUUCAUAAAUUAUUAUUUUAAUACAAUAUUUAAUUAUAUUUAUUAUUAUUAUUUUAAUAUAAUAUUUUAUUAUGAAAAGUAAUUAUCAAAUACUCGCUUACGUUCAUGUGACAACUAUUUUUCAUACUAAAAUAAUAAUAAUAAUAAUAAAUAUAGUAAAAUAAUUAAAAAAAUUAUAAUUUAAAAUAUAAGAUAAUAUUGAUGAUAUGAAAGUAGCAUCUUCAUACCUGCAAAACCAAAAGAGUACGCAUGGAUCGUGCACUAAAAAUGUUGACUCAUAACUCAAAUACUAUUCUUAUUAUCUCUUCUAAAUUCUAUGAUUUCUGAUGAUUUUUGGUAAGAUAAGAAAUUAUGAUAAUUUUAGAUUGUUUCAUUUUAGAGGUGACACUUUACUUAUGGUUGAAAUUUUAAUAAUUAUAUGGUAAGACCUAGGAAGAUUCUCACUAGACACAAACAUAACUAAGUGGUUAAAUAAGUGUUGAAGAUUCACUUCCAAAAGCAAAAGGAAAAAUACAUUAUAAGGUGAGAAUGAUGUAUGGUGCAACCAACAGAUGACUAAGGACACAUCAAUCACUUCACAAAAAGAAAGUAUCAGUAGAACAAGAGGAAGCUAUAAACCAGAAUAUUAGAAAUUCUUCCUUAUGGUCUUUUCCACAAGAGAAAAGUUAUGUAAAUAAAUUGGGCUCAUUUUAGGGGUCCAAAUAGCAAGAUAGGCUAGAAUAGGUGCCUUUAGCAUAAUAGGGGGUGUAGUUAUCAUUUUAGCUGGUUUUUUUACCUAGUUUCCAGAAGAAGUGGCCUAAGGUGCGGUUUUGACUUAGUCAAACCCUAAAGGUAGCCCCCUCACACAUUUACCAUCCUAUCCUUUCUCAUCUUGUUUUCCAAAGCACUCAUUCCUAUAAAUAGGGUGUCUUACUCCAUGUAUUUUCAAGUUGAUUUUUAUAGAAGAAGGAAAACUCUGCACAAAUUGUGUGAGGCUAGUUUGCUUUAAGCAUUAGGUCUUAUCUUGAGUGAGUUGAGAGUUCUCAAGUGGCAACCCUCUACACUCAUCUUGAAGAAACCACACUCCAAGUGGCGUGUCCAACUCUCUUCCAUCACCAUAAGCAUUCUUCCUUCAUCUCUUCUACCAUUUCCAUACGCCACUUAUCUUUUAUGCUUCCUAUAUUUGUGUUCCUUCAUCUUUUCCUUCAUGUUAUCAUGUUUCUUGUCAUGUCUUUUACAUUCCGCACCAUACAUCAUGUUCACUCUAUUAUGUGAUUUUCCUCUUUGCCUUUGGAAGUAAACUUUCACACUUACUUAACCUCUUGGUUAAGUUCCUGUCUAGUGGGGAUCCUCCCUAGGUCUCACCAUAUACUUGUUAAAAUCUCAAUCAUAAGUAAAGUGUCACCUCUAAAAUGGAACCAUCUAAAAUCAACUCACUUUAAGAAAUAAAGCUCAAAACACACCUGUAACACCAAGAGGGAAUGAGCUGCCGAAGCUCAAGGGUGGGCGCAAAGUCUCUGAAGUCGUCGAUGACGGCAUCAGUGUGGCCUCCACGAAGAGAACCCCUUGAUCGUCACAGUCAAUCUCCAUGUGAUCAUCUUCGUCUCGUCAUAGCCUUCCAGCCAUUGAAUAAAAGGGCAACACCUUUCUUAGGGCCUUCUUAAGAAUCUUUUCUCAAAAAAGUUGGACGCAUUGUUCGGUCUAAAGUAGACACUGAGCGUGUGGGAAUUGGACACCACCAGGUCGACAUUAGAGUUCCACAGCAACUGCCGGUCCACCUCUUUCGCUGGGCGCACCAGGGUUGAUUCCUUCACGUUGAUGUUCAAACUCCGUUCAAGCCGCUUUGCGCUACCCUUCUUCAUCAAUCAUUUUACUUCAGAAGAAAUCAAGAAAUGGAUCGAAGAGGGUGAGGUGGGAGAGGUAGUUACUAAGGUGAGAGAGGUAAACAAUGAAGAUGUUGCAGAGUUUCGUGACAAAGGUGAGAAAGCGAAAUGUGAGGCGAGUUUAGGGGGAAGCACAUGCGGGAAACAGUGGGGGUGAAGGGGUAGUUGAGAAGGAGGAAGAGAAGACCUAUGCAGACAACAAAUCACAAUCCAUAUUUGCACCUAUCUAUGCCACAUCAUAAACAUUUAACUUUGUUAGUCCAAAGGUUCAAAGUUAACCGAAUGAACCAUUUUGAAUAGAUUUUAAUUUUUUAAUAACCAUCAUACUUAGUAAAUUGAAUAUUGACUAUAAAUAUAAAAAGGAGAAAGGUAAUUAUAAAAAAACCAUGAAUGAUGAUAAUAGUAUGUAGUAAUCAAACAUGUGUUUCUAAAAUAUACUUAAAUGCACAAUUUCAUUAAAAAAAACGUGCUUUCAUGUACUACUAGAGAAAAAUACUUAAAAAAAUAAAUUAUUUAAGUAAUAAAAAAAGGUUAAAAAAAAUAAAGUCGUCCUUUGAAUAAUGAUUUCGGUGUUUAAAAUCUAACCUGUUUUUGAAUUUUUAUUAUUUUUUCAUUUUGAAAUCGUGGUUUUGAAUACAACUUUUUUUUCCAUUUCUUAAAUUUUAAAAAUUUGUCUAUCUACAUAAUAUUCAACUUAAAUUACACUAAUUUUAAAAUAAGUUUCUAUUGAUAACAAAAACAUGUACUUAUCUUUUACACAAGAAAUCUAUAUUUGCAUAGUGUAUCUCUUACACAAGGAAAACAUUGUAUCAGAAUUUUUAUUUAGUGUUUCUCUUUAAUUAUUUUCCACCCUCAAUGUCGAUCAAAAUACUUAGACAACUAUAGAUUAAUAUUAAACCAUUAAAUCAGUAAUUUCAUUACAAUAAUGGAAUACACAAAUAAAAAUUAAAUUACACACAAAUAUUACUAUAAAUUAUAUAUAUAUAUAUAUAUAUAUAUAUAUAUAUUAUGUGAUGAGAUAUGGUAUAUAAUAUCAUACAUGUCACAUAAUCACUCCACAAACCAGUAGAGCCAAAUCGGUUUAUACCAUUUCCUAUACACACAUUCCAACAGAUGACUAAGUUGCUCCACCUAUUCCUGAUGAGAUCUGCAGCUUGAAAACACUUUUUAAAACACAGCCCUAACCAUAUUUCUAAUGUAUUGCAAAAUCUUAUAACACCGUAAAAUUGUAUUUCUAUUGUACACAAUAGUCAUGGAAAACAUAUUUUCCUCAAUAGUAUUUCUGUAAAACAAAAUACCAGUAUAUGAACUUAAUUAAAAAGAGGUAUGACAGUAACAAUUCCCCCAUUAAAAUUACCCCUAGCACUGACAUGUUCAUCUUCUAAUCCAAAAUCAAGCCCAUCAAUACACCAAUUUGCUAGGCAGUUUGUGGUUUCCUAGCCACAAUUACAUGUACGCCUUCAUGGCAUUUCAUUUCAAAUAAUAACUAUUAGUUAAAUUUGUGAACUUUAAGCAAAGCCAGUCUGAUUCUUUUUGUCUGAUGGUUGUCUAAUAGUUGAUCAUGUGUCCAAAGAAAUGAAAAACAAUAAUUAUAAUAUGUAGUCAGUAAAAUAUAAUUCUUCAGUUGAUCUAGCACUUGAAAUUUUACAUGCUUAUGGAAACAAGCAAUAUUCAUUGUGAUUUCACCCAUGAAUGGGCGGCUCAACUUCGUUAACUGGACUCUACAACUUGUAGGUCAAUGAAAUCUGACCAGCUGAAUCAUUUGGAAGCAAUCCAGACUCUUUAAAUAUCUUUUCAGACUGCACAAGAAUGAACAUACCACUGUAUCUUUUCAAAAUAAUAAUAUCACACUCCACAUGCACUUGACAUGACCAUCGAGAAGAAAAGUGCUCCUUCCUAUAAGCACUUUCUCAAGUAGAAGAAUGAAUAAAUCAACUCAUUUACGGGUCCAAUUCUUCUCCUUCACUUUGCAGCUGUCAGUACCCUUUCGCCUAUUAACAAGAGGGUAAUGUCUGAAUUUUCAGCAGUAGGAUUUGGAGACUUUAACACCACAAGUUGCUGCAUAUGAUAUGUGAACCUUUCUGGACUGCUAUAUUCAAAAAUCAUAUUUGGUUCUUCCACUUCCCAAAAUGAGACAUAACAUGUCUGAAAUUUCUCUAGAAGAAGAAUAAAAAUUCCAAGAUUCAAGCAUUAGGCGUUUUCUUGAUCCUUUGAAAUGAACAACCUGCAUCCAAAAACAAACCAGGAACAGAAGUCAUGUUAAAACAAAAAGGAGUGCUAAGUUUUCGCUACAGUGAGACCAAGAAUGACCUACGGCUAUUCAUAGAGUACUCAACUAGGGUAAAAACUUUCUCCCUUUAUUCAUGUGCUUCAUCAUUUAAAUAUAUGAUGCUUUUGGACUUGUAGAGUCAUUAGGCCGAGACGAACCCAUUGCAUAUAGUAGUAAAAAGAACUACCGUAGUUAUGCUUCACAGGCCCAUUACAUUACGUAGUCUUUCAUCCAUUGUGGGUGUUCCUUCUGUCUAAUGGGCCUGCUGUAGGUGCUGGACUGUGUUGUAUCAUAUUACCUUUAAUAUUUCCCAAAAUUUUCAAGCAAUCAGACAGAAUACUUGCUGUUGUAAGUCUAAAAUAAACAUUUAAAAACUAAACAUAUGAUAUAUCUAUGUAUAAUUUCCAAAAGUAUAACUAAAGCACUCAGCUUAGGACCAAAAAGAAAUCCUGCCAUUGUAAAUCUUCAUUAUACCUUAACAUCCAAUGGCAUGCCACGGAAUUGACCAGCACCCUCUGGCGGAGUCCAAUUGUACAGAGAACAAGGUAAGAACAAUACUGAAGUACCCCCAAUGUCUUCUGAGAAAGCAAGUGCUUUGGUAAACCUUCUGGGGUCAAAAUGAGGUUUCGACAUAACAACCCAAGCAAGAGCUAACUGAUCACCAAGCAUACGAGAAGCGUUUCUAUACUUUGUGCUGUAAACUUUCAAGACCUCUUGUAGGAAAAGCUUUGCCCUGCAUUGAUUAUCAAAUUAAAUUAAAAAAAUUAUUUAUCAAAAAAUAUGUGGGAUAAAUCAAGAAAAUGGGAAAAACAAGCUUGCAAAUGACCAAAGAAGCAUAUCAGAGGCAUUUGCAUGGUAUAUAUGGAGGAUAGGAUAGUGUUACAAUCAUAUAAUUUUCAUUUUACAAUUGCAGGUUUUAAAUCG
rnacentral:lncRNA from 1 species